ACUGUCCUCCUCUUAAAAACGACCACAUAGGUCGUUUGUGCAAGCAGCAUAUUACGACCUAUUAUUACGUUUUAAAAUCAAGCGCCCUCUAGCGGCCGUAUUACGACAGUCUCGUUUGUCGGGUGUGUCGUCAUCAAAUGACCUUUGACUGUCGUUACCAUCGUUACCACCCAAAAAAAGGAGGCGUGACCCAACAUCUUACCAUGCGUUGUUGUCCAGGUUUGUAAACAAUUUUAUUUUAUGGUUUAUUUUUUAAGGUACUGUUCUGAUUGUCUGCAAUUAAUGUCAAAUUUUGCAGUUUCUUCAUAUCACAUACAUCUCCAGCUCCUACAACAACAUUCAGUGUCCAGCAGCUCUUUAUGAUGCUCUCUCUCUCUCUCUCUCUCUCUCUCUCUCUCUCUCUCUCUCUCUCUCUCUCUCUUUCUCUCUCUUUCUCUCUCACUCUCUCUCUCUCUCUCAUUUUCGUUUCCUAUUUUUCUGAACUGUAAUUCAUAAAUAAGUCACACAUAUUUUUCUUUCUUUCUCUUGUUCAUCAUGGCAUAUUUUCACAGCUCAGAAUCAGAUUUUGAUCAGUUCUUGUAUUAACAGGGAACUUGUACUCGAAGCUCAACUUGAAGAAGUUUCCAGUGAAGAUGAAGUCCUUCAAAGGUUCGACACAGCUGAAAAGGAAGACCAUGGGCCUGUCAAACCUUGUUUGUGGAGAGGGAUGAAUUUGACCAUCUUGUGUGUUUACGGAGAAGACCAAAAGCUGCUAAGGCAGAUAUUUCCAGAGGAUUUCUGACAGAUUACUGAGUCCUUCUCCAUCAGCUCUCCACAAUAGCAGCCCUUCCAAAAGCAUCCACAUCACUCUCUCUUGUGUGGCACAUCUGCUCUCAGUCGUUAGCAUGUCUACUUGUAUUAUUUCUCCUCUAGUCAACACUCCCAUCUCUACUGUGAACACUCCUGUCACUAUCACCAUCCCACCUACUGUAUUCUAUAUGCCAUAUAUAUAUAUAUAUAUAUA